CACGGGGGGAGCAAGCGUUGUUCGGAAUUACUGGGCGUAAAGGGCGUGUAGGCGGUCAAGUAAGUGGAAUGUGAAACGCCUCGGCUUACCCGAGGACCUGCAUCCCAAACUGCUUGGCUUGAGUAUGGGAGAGGAUGAGGGAAUUCCUGGUGUAGCGGUGAAAUGCGUAGAUAUCAGGAGGAACACCGGUGGCGAAAGCGGCUCUCUGGGACGGUACUGACGCUGAGACGCGAAAGCGUGGGGAGCGAACAGG
rnacentral:rRNA from 1 species